AGACUAUUGCUGGAAACCAUCCGCUGGGAUGUUUCUUAGGGAAAUCCCGUCGUGUGGAAGGAAGCCUUUUAAAGGCAAAGUCAGAUGUUGAGGAAUUAGCCUUUUCAUAGAAUUAUCAAAGGAUGGCUGUACAGACCACCUAGAAAAUAAUUCAGUAUUUCAGGUUUUUCUUUUCUGGGAGUGUGAUAACUGAAAUUGUUAGAUUUUGGCUCAGUUAAGAAAAGAAAGAUCUGUUGCCUUUCUUCUGAGUGAACAGUGGUGAGAAAAAAUUUUGCAAGGCCCCGCUUUUCCUUUCUUCACAGGCCAGCAGUAGCCAUAUCUGAUCAAAAAAGAUACCUGAAGGAAUAUUGAUCACAUUUUCCUGAGGCCCUAGCAAGCACAGGAAUUGAGAAGUUAGGACUGGAACAACUUUGUCAUUUGUCACAAUUGCCAAACAUUAGAAUACACAGGAACCGUUUUUUCAGGUAACUCUGUGACUUGGCUGGAUCUUCCUGAUCAUCAAGAUUAG
rnacentral:lncRNA from 1 species